rnacentral:rRNA from 1 species
GACGAGGGGUCCAAGCGUUGUUCGGAAUCAUUGGGCGUAAAGCGGGUGUAGGCGGCUCUAUAAGUCAGAAGUGAAAGCCCCGAGCUUAACUUGGGAAGUGCUUUUGAUACUGCAGAGCUUGAAUGUGGGAGAGGGUAGUGGAAUUCCAGGUGUAGUGGUGAAAUACGUAGAUAUCUGGAGGAACACCGGUGGCGAAGGCGGCUACCUGGCCCAACAUUGACGCUGAGACCCGAAAGCAUGGGGAUCAAACAGG